UUCAAGGAAACAAGUGACAAAAGGUAAAAUUUCUUGAUUUUGACUUAUGAUCUACCUUUCUCAUGCAUUUCUCCUUGUUUUUCAUGGUUAAAUUAUAUGUUUUCAUGAUGAAUUCAUGGCUGGUUGGAAUGGGUAUGGAGAGAGAAUGAUGUUAGAUUGAUUUGAUUCUAAGUUAUGUUAGUGUUUUUAGUUAGUUAAGCAUGUUUAGAAACAAAACAACAAGAAAAGAAUCCAUUUUCCCCAUGAACCUUCAAUGGCCGAACCCUAUGUGAAGUGUAGAAGUAAUGAAUUGAUUUUGUGAUCAAGUGAAUUGGUUGAAAAAUUGAUGAAAUGAUGAUUUAUGGUGAGAAAAUGGAAUGGGAAAAUUUUUAGUGAUAGUGCACCACAAUGGCCUAAAUUUUCAAGAAGAAUUGUGAGAGUUGUUAGGCUGAAUUUUAGAUUAUUGGAAUUGUAUUUAGUGAAUUGAAAUAUUAGAAAUGAAAUGGAGCAAUUUGGAGCCAAAUCGGACAUAAUUGUCAUUUAAUCGGGUAAUAGGCCGAAUUAGGUCAACACCACAUUUAAGCAGUAGUCGGAUAAGUUGCAUAUCAUAUCAUGCAUAUACACCGAGCCUGAAUUGAUUUUAUAAUGGUCAAGCAUUAAUGUGGUGAAUUAUGUAUUGUACAUUGUGGAUAGGUGGUGAGUAAAUUACACUGGUAAAAGUACAGAGAUUGUGCUUGAAGACUGGGAUUAGGAGUACAUCGACUCCUAGAACUGUGAGUGGACAAUUUAUCAUCUUAAAUAUCUAGAGUAAUUAUACUUGUUUGAUGCUUUUAUUUAAUGCUGAGUUUAAAUUAUAAAAUAUUAUGUUUUCCAAUAAAAAAUAUUUUUUUUUAUAAAAAUGAGAUUUAUACUGGUUUUGAAAUCAAAUAUUGUUUUGGGAAAAUUGAGUAUAUGGAGACUGUGUUGAAAUUUAUGAUUUUAUAUGUUAUUGAAAUUGUGGCUUAUGACACUAUGGUAGCAUGAUGGCUAAAUUUUUGGGGUUGGCAUGAAAUAUAUGAACAGUUUUGGAUUGGUCUCGGUAGACUGGAUUAAAUUUUAUUUGUCAUAUUAUGCUACUGAAAAUUUUAUGGGUUUGGUGGUAUAUUAAAUGGUCACUGUAGUGGUGGGGGUUUUCGUGGACUGCCUAUGAGAAGGGCACGGUAACCUAAUUGUAUAUUUACCUCCAGGGGAGAGAUGUUGGAUGAAGUAUCUCCUGAGGUAAGAUUUGAAUGCAGCUCACGUUCGGGCCACCACGUGAGAGUGAGACUCAACUAACGCCAAGGAACGGCUGUGUGUCAGAUGUGAAAACAUGUUUAUGGGUAUGGGACAUUUAACAGCCUUGGCGGUUUUAGUGGGAUACCUUGACGAAGGUACUUGAGAGAAUGAUUUUGGCAGGGGCCAAGUUUAAGAAAUUCAUAAGCCGAGAAAUUUUGACGAAAAGAAAUUGUUUAGUAUAGAUUGAAACGAAUUUUGCGUUAUGAACAUUAUUGAGAUAUAACGUUUUUAUAUUGUCUCCAUCUACUCGACUUUAGAUGCUUUUGAUAGUAAUUGUUUACUUACUGGGAUUUUAUAAUCUCACCACCCUCUUUUCCUCACAUUUCAGGCUCGGGGAAUUCCAUAGUUAACUGACUUUGACAAGGACCUUCAUUUGGACUUGAAUCGGCAAAAGUUAUAGGUUUUCAGCUUCUGAUGCAUUUUGGUUAGAUGUGGGCCCACGUGUCGCUGUAAAAGUAAUUUUAUGCUUUGGUUAUUUGCUUUAUAGUAUAUAUGAAUAUAAUUAACUUUUACGCUAUAAAAAUUAUUUAC
rnacentral:lncRNA from 1 species